CCCAUUCUAAGGCCCCAGGAAGAGAGAGGUGCUCUGAGGCAAGUUGGAGGAGAACCCUCAGCACAGAGCCCAGACCCACAUCCUCAGGGCAGAGGGAAGAGGCUCACAGGACAGUGGUCCUAGGAGAGCUGGACCUGCAGUGGCCUUUGUCUUUCAUGGUCAGCUGAGAGAGGGCAAUGCUGGCUCAACUUCCAGGUGUCAUCAAGGACCAUGUGACAGUGGGCAGUUGGAUCCCUGUUGGAGGAGAGGGAGAUGAAAGUCACAGGUGGAUCAAGAUCUGUAUUUUUCGUCCAGACCAGAACAAGAUGGCCAUGUCCCAGUACUGACAAUGUCCUGUGAAGGUGGAACCCAAGAUUAAGGAAGACCAAAAAUAUAAUAUUGAAGUAGCAAGAGGGGGGCCCUGGAAGAUGGCAUGGCAGAAUCCCUCUUUGACAAGCUCACCCUGGGUGGCUGCGACAGGAAGAACUGAUCUGGGACU